rnacentral:lncRNA from 1 species
CCCGUACAUUGGUGUCCUCUUGGGUGACCUUCCCGGCAGCCCUUGCUGGCUCUGCCCCAACCAAACAAAGACGGCAGGAGGUUUUCAAACAGCCGGUUCCCUGAAAGUUGGCUGCAGGAGAGCCGGGCUGUGCUGGCACCUGCCUGGUCCCGGCCACUGGAGAACGUGGCAGCGAGUUGGUGCCGUCGUCUGAGAGGACCCCAGUAGCCGUCGGGAGUCCCUGUACAGGACAGUGUUGUUUCCAGACGCAAGAGCAUGCUCUGCAGCGCCAGCAGUUCUCACAUGGAGUUUCUACAGUUCUGCUCGCUGUGACCUUCUGGGCCAUCAGGGAAACACAUCGUGUUCCUGCCAGCCUCGUGCGAUGAACCAUCACUUGCCAGGAUUCACACCAGGCUUCCUGGGACGCUGUGUUGCUGCUUGGAAUCCUGAUUACUUCUGGUUGCUUACUGUGCUGCUGGCAGGGUGGGAUUGAUGUCCAGUUUGGCACAUUGGGCAGAGCCAAGCCCAUAACCGUUCUCUGUGUCCUUGGCAGACUGGGGAACCAAGCUAGACCCCUCUCUCUAAAGGGGUUCCAGGUGAGCAAGGGACAGGCUUGGUGCUGUCCAUAUUUAUUCUGGUGGGAAAAGCCACCUCCUUCACCCUUUCCACCUGGGAACUGUGUAACUGCUGGGGAUGACACCACAUGGAUGCAGGGCCAGCAGCCUGGUAUCAAGGCACUAGCUGAGCUGAGCACUAUCACAGGGCACAGAGCUGCCUUGGGGGGUGCCAGCAUCCCCACCACGGCUGCACUCCAGGCAUGUAGGGCAUCUGGGCACAGGACGGGUCCUGUCAGCAAUGGGCCGUCUGGAUGACCAUGCCAAGAGGAGGAUUGUGGAGCUGCGCAGGGCUGGGCUGAGCUUCCGCAAGAUCAAGAAGGUGCUGGAGCUGGAUGACAUCCGGGUGACGCCGCAGGCCGUGUACCUCUUCCUCAAGAGGAAGAGCGUGGAACCAGGCCAGGACACCAAGGAAGGCAUCCAGAUUGUCGGUGUGGACUCGCUCUGCAAGGACGGUGGGCAGCUUGGGGACACUCUGCCUCUGGGGCUGGCCCCUGGGAAUGGUGAUGACAGCUCCACAGGCAAAGCCCUGACUCCAGGGACUGCUCUGGGGGGCCCGCCCCCCCUGCCCCAGAUACUGCCAGGCCAAGUGCAGCUGGUCACACCCCCGACCCAGAACUCAGCCUCGGUGGUGAAAAAGAAGACUCUGGACAGGGCUAUCCUCCUGCAGAAAAGGGUCAAAGAUGUCAGCACUCAGACUGCCUUGCCAAACCCUGUGGGUCCAGGACAUCGCAACCUUGCUUGGGGUGGACCUGUGCCCCCCACUGCUCCCAGCUUCCCCAGCAUCACUGAGAAGCUGGAUGCUGUACAGAGGGAGGUGCAGAAGCUGAGCCAGGCCCUGCAUACAGUGCUGGAGCGGCAGUGCAACCUGGAACGUCAGCAGGAGCACCAACAGCGGCUGCAACAGGAGGUGCUGAUGACACUGCAGCAGCUCAGCUCCACUGUGAGCCAUGGCUCUGUGCCAGCCACCCAGCCCUGUGGCCCCUUCAGCAGUGUGGCCGAGCCCUUGCCCACCAUGCCGAACUUCAGCCAGUUCAAGAUGGAGCUGAUCUGAGCUCCUGCAAUGCCUGCAUGUGCCAGUGGUGUUGUGCUAAUGGCAGGAUGGAGCUGGGAGGAAGAACCAUCGGUCCCUGGUGCCUUGUGUUCCCAGUCCCGCUGACUGAAAGGGGCUACCUGGCACAAGAGGCUGAAUAGUGGAAGGCUGAGGCCUUGCUUCUCCUGUGCUUCAUCCUGGCUGCCACUGGAGCUGGCUGGGACCCAUAGACCUCAACAGAAGGCAGUUGCCUGCAAGAAGAUGCAGCUAAGACAGACACAGCAGGGAUGUGGAACUCCAAGGAUAAAGGAGGCUUCCUUCUCAUGAGGGUCAAUGAUGAUCUUGCCCUCCCCUCCACACAACCUUUUUCGGUAAAAAUCUCUCUGCGCCACAGUUCAGAACCAGUGUGGGAUCAGUAUCUACAUUUUCCCUACCCCUUACCUGGACAGUGAGCAGGCUUGGUCUGUCUGGGUUACUAUCACCAUAUGUGGAACUGCACAGGGUGCAGAAACCCAUGAGGUGAGACCAGUGCUCCACGCAUGAUGAUGUUGGAGCCUGGUAUAAGCUGCUGCACCAUUAGGGACAGAUCAGACUGUAGGAAACAAUCUUUUACUGAGCAGAUUCCACCCUCCUCACCCCACAAACUCAGCAGAUCUGUAGUGUGGUACUACUGUUGCCCACUGUCUGGUGAGAAAUGGGCAGGACCAUAACAGUAAGAGUUGCACCUGGGCAGGAGCGGACUAACUGGAUGUUCAACUCUCCUCUGACCCAUUUUCCUGGGCAGGACACCCUCCUGGUUGUGAUCUCCAGUUGCAAGAGCUGUCCCUAGAGCAAGCUGCUGGUGGUGCACAGCUGCUCUAGCAGAACAGUGCAUGAUGCUGAGAACCCCCUUGCCUAGACAAGAAGGGCACAGGGGAGGUUGAUGGGCCCUAACUGAGCAAUGGAGUCCAGAAGGACCAGAGACUGGCCUUACCUGCCAGGAGGAAAGGUCUGAUGGGGGUGGCCUUGGCUUAGCACCCAGCAAUGAAUCCUGAGAGGAGGCAGAGCAUGUGUCUUUCCUCCACAUCAGCCAAGCAGGCUUCUGUCUGAGUAGGCACCACACUUGGCACAACCUGUGCUUCUGAGAAGUCCCCAGCCUGUUUCUGAGGUCUCCUUGAGUCCAAGGUCAUAAUAAAGAAGAGUAAAAACCAAUUCA